GCACAAGCGGUGGAUGAUGUGGAUUAAUUCGAUGCAACGCGAAAAACCUUACCUACCCUUGACAUGUCCGGAAUCCUGCAGAGAUGCGGGAGUGCCCGAAAGGGAAUCGGAACACAGGUGCUGCAUGGCUGUCGUCAGCUCGUGUCGUGAGAUGUUGGGUUAAGUCCCGCAACGAGCGCAACCCUUAUCAUUAGUUGCUACGCAAGGGCACUCUAAUGAGACUGCCGGUGACAAACCGGAGGAAGUGGGGAUGACGUCAAGUCCUCAUGGCCCUUAUGGGUAGGGCUUCACACGUCAUACAAUGGUCGGUACAGAGGGUUGCCAAGCCGCGAGGUGGAGCCAAUCCCAGAAAGCCGAUCGUAGUCCGGAUUGUUCUCUGCAACUCGAGAGCAUGAAGUCGGAAUCGCUAGUAAUCGCGGAUCAGCAUGUCGCGGUGAAUACGUUCCCGGGUCUU
rnacentral:rRNA from 1 species